AAAAAAGGUGUUAAACAUUAAAACAAUCAAUGCAAUAAGAAUAAAAUAAAAUUUUGAAACAAAAUAUAUAAAAAAAAACCAAACCAAAAGGAACAGAAAAGUUAAAAAAAUAAAUAAUCAUAAUUAAAAGGCAUAUUAUACUACAACGAAAAGAACAAAGUUAAAAAGCCACUGUCAGUAUAAAAAGUUACAUGUAUUCACUGAAAGCGAGUCUAAAAUAAUGGGUUUUCAAAUUUUUCUUAAAAAGUUCCAUUGAGUGUUCAUGUCUUAGAUGGCUAGGAAGAUUGUUCCAGAGACUCGCAGUAGCUUUGUCGAAACGUCUUUCUCCAUAGAUUUUGGUGCGUACACGAGGUUGUAUAAGCUGCAUGGCAUUUUCCGAUCUUAGAGAUCUUGAUGGUUGAUAGGCACUAAUGAGUUCCUCAAGAUAGACGGGCGCUAGACCAUGCAGGAUUUUGAAAGUAUACAAAAGAA
rnacentral:lncRNA from 1 species